AGUUACAGACCCAACCAAUUGCCCGCUUCCUGGGCAUGGCACAAACCCUAUUGUCAGCGGCUCGCCCAAUGU
rnacentral:sRNA from 1 species